AAGAUGACAUCAUUGCUGUGAGUCAUACUUUUAUGAACAGGAUUAAUCUUAGCAUAUAAAAGAAACUGCCCGGAUUGUCAGAAACCGGGACAGCUUU
rfam:Selenomonas ruminantium strain C3 genome assembly, contig: IE42DRAFT_scaffold00003.3